rnacentral:lncRNA from 1 species
UUUUUAAAAGAAUUAUUGAGAAGGACCUUUUGGGAAGGUGUCAAUAUAGAAACAUUAAAAAUUGUGGGGUAGUUGAUAUAUCUUACAAGGAUUGAAAGGAUGGUGGAAAAGCUUGACUGAUGGUUAGAUGGUUUCUUAUUUUCCAUGGAAAAUCUGGCUUUGAAAUUUCCCCACAAAAUUUAUGAGGAACGAAUAAUGUCCAAAAUCUGCUAAUCAAAAAGACUAAACAUGGUGGAGAUAACCAAUAUAUAUAUAUAU